rnacentral:lncRNA from 13 species
UUGUUUGUUUUUGUUGGGGUGGGACCCACUGAGCCUGAUCACCUGGCUCCCUGCCUCAGAGCCCUUUUUUUUUUUAAGUUGAAUGGUUGACUCUCUCCCAGAUGUUCCAGUCACCUGCUCCAAGGGCACCGGGAUCUGUAUGAUUUCCCAUGCAGUGACCCACUGCACAGGCUCAAACCAUGUUGCUGCCUGGGAAUCUCCUGGCCUGGCUUUCUGUUUAAGUCCUCUUUAAUCAGAUGAAUGUGCUAAUCUGCCUUCCAAAAUCUCCAAUUGCCAGUUUAAUAGGGCAACCAAAGCAGUGUAUUUUGUAUGGAGUGCCGCUGCACUGCAGCCCCGGCCCAAACAGCCACGCUGGCCCAAACAGCCAUGCUGGUGGCCCGUGGGGCUCCUACACCUGGGAAUCUCCUGGUCUGUGGGGAAUAAGGAUCUGUCUGGAAAUGCGGCGUCCACUCACCAUCUACAUUUUCACUGGGAGCUGCAAUCCUGAGUUGGUCCUACAGCGCCAUCUUCUCUCUCCUUUCAGACUGAUGAUUUGUAUGGAACAAGAGAAGGAUAUCUUACCACCCUCUGUUACUUUCGGGAAAGCUG